rnacentral:tRNA from 1 species
UCCCUGGUAGCUCAGAUGGUAAAGAAUCUACCUGCAAUGCAGGAGACCUGGGUUUGAUCCCUGGCUUGGGAA